rnacentral:rRNA from 1 species
UACGUAGGCAGCGAGCGUUGUUCGGAGUUACUGGGCGUAAAGGGUGUGUAGGCGGCCUUUCAAGUUUGGUGUGAAAUCUCCCGGCUCAACCGGGAGGGUGCGCCGAAAACUGGGGGGCUAGAGUGCGGGAUGGGAGAGUGGAAUUCCUGGUGUAGCGGUGAAAUGCGUAGAUAUCAGGAGGAACACCGGUGGUGCAGACGGCUCUCUGGACCGUAACUGACGCUGAGACACGAAAGCGUGGGUAGCAAACAGG